rnacentral:rRNA from 1 species
GAGUUUGAUCGUGGCUCAGAUUGAACGCUGGCGGCAUGCCUUACACAUGCAAGUCGAACCGGCAGGCACGGGAGCUUGCUCCUGGUGGCGAGUGGCGAACGGGUGAGUAAUGCAUCGGAACGUAUCCUGGAGUGGGGGAUAACGGUAGCGAAAGUUACGCUAAUACCGCAUAUUCUGUGAGCAGGAAAGCGGGGGACCUUCGGGCCUCGCGCUCUUGGAGCGGCCGAUGUCGGAUUAGCUAGUUGGUGAGGUAAAGGCUCACCAAGGCGACGAUCCGUAG